UCCAGAACAUGGUUUUGAAUUUGUAUCUGUCGAUGAAGUACAACGUAUUGCUGAAAGAAACAAUGCUGAUGAAUUACCAUUCCAUACCAUAGGCAUGUUAUGCAGUCAACUUUUUAUUCCUCCAAGCUAUUCCUUUCUCAUUGUAUGAUACAUUUAUGGUAUUGUUUGGCUACAGAUGUGAUUGGUGUUGUCGAGAAUCCUGGCCAGGUGUCAAUGAUUUGAACCAUCAAUGGCGAUCGUCAUGUCCAUAAAUUUCGAGUCACUGAUGGACAUAUGUUUGUUCGAGUUACCCUGUUUGGAAGCAUACUGCAAACCAGCAACAUGCUAAUUACU
rnacentral:lncRNA from 1 species